rnacentral:siRNA from 1 species
UAAAGCUUCCAGCUCCGAGUGAAG